AACGAACGCUGGCGGCAUGCCUAACACAUGCAAGUCGAACGAGACCUUCGGGUCUAGUGGCGCACGGGUGCGUAACGCGUGGGAAUCUGCCCUUUGCUUCGGAAUAACAGUUAGAAAUGACUGCUAAUACCGGAUGAUGUCUUCGGACCAAAGAUUUAUCGGCAAAGGAUGAGCCCGCGUAGGAUUAGGUAGUUGGUGGGGUAAAGGCCUACCAAGCGACGAUCCUUAGCUGGUCUGAGAGGAUGAUCAGUCACACUGGAACUGAGACACGGUCCAGACUCCUACGGGAGGCAGCAGUGGGAAUAUUGGACAAUGGGCGAAAGCCUGAUCCAGCCAUGCCGCGUGUGUG
rnacentral:rRNA from 1 species